GACGAACGCUGGCGGCGUGCUUAACACAUGCAAGUCGAGCGGUAAGGCCCUUUCGGGGGUACGACGAGCGGCGAACGGGUGAGUAACACGUGGGUGACCUGCCCUCAGCUCUGGGAGUAAGCCCGGGAAACCGUAGGGUCGUAAUACCGGAUAUGACUCCAUGACGCAUGUUGUGGGGUGGAAAGCCUUGUGCGGCUGAGGAUGGGCCCGCGGCCUAUCAGCUUGUUGGUGGGGUGAUGGCCUACCAAGGCGACGACGGGUAGCCGGCCUGAGAGGGCGACCGGCCACACUGGGACUGAGACACGGCCCAGACUCCUACGGGAGGCAGCAGUGGGGAAUCUUGCGCAAUGGGCGAAAGCCUGACGCAGCGACGCCGCGUGAGGGAUGACGGCC
rnacentral:rRNA from 1 species